rnacentral:rRNA from 1 species
AGCGUUGUUCGGAAUUACUGGGCGUAAAGCGCGCGUAGGCGGCUUUUUAAGUCAGAGGUGAAAGCCCGGGGCUCAACCCCGGAAUAGCCUUUGAAACUGGAAAGCUAGAAUCUUAGAGAGGUCAGUGGAAUUCCGAGUGUAG